rnacentral:rRNA from 1 species
UACGUAGGUCCCGAGCGUUGUCCGGAUUUACUGGGUGUAAAGGGAGCGUAGACGGCAGAGCAAGUCUGAAGUGAAAGCCCGCGGCCCAACUGCGGGACUGCUUUGGAAACUGCCCGGCUAGAGUGCUGGAGAGGUAAGCGGAAUUCCUAGUGUAGCGGUGAAAUGCGUAGAUAUUAGGAGGAACACCAGUGGCGAAGGCGGCUUACUGGACAGUAACUGACGUUGGGGCUCGAAAGCGUGGGGAGCAAACAGG